rnacentral:rRNA from 1 species
AUACAGAGGGUGCGAGCGUUAAUGGGAAUUACUGGGCGUAAAGCGCGCGUAGGCGGCUUGGUCAGUCGGAUGGGAAAGCCCCGGGCUCAACCUGGGAAUGGCAUUCGAUACUGCCAGGCUAGAGUAUGGGAGAGGGAAGUGGAAUUUCCGGUGUAGCGGUGAAAUGCGUAGAUAUCGGAAAGAACACCAGUGGCGAAGGCGACUUCCUGGCCCAAUACUGACGCUGAGGUGCGAAAGCGUGGGGAGCGAACAGGAUUAGAAACCCUAGUAGUCC